UACAGAGGAGCCAAGCGUUGUCCGGAUUGACUGGGCGUAAAGCGCACGCAGGCGGAUGCGCGCGUGGGGUGUGAAAUCUGGCCGCUUAACGGCCAGGCGCCAUCCCAUACGGCGCGUCUGGAGUGAUGCAGAGGUCGGUGGAAUUGCCGGUGUAGUGGUGAAAUGCGUAGAGAUCGGCAGGAACACCCAGGGGAAACCGAGCCGACUGG
rnacentral:rRNA from 1 species